CCUACGGGCGGCAGCAGUGAGGAAUAUUGGUCAAUGGACGAGAGUCUGAACCAGCCAAGUAGCGUGAAGGAUGACUGCCCUACGGGUUGUAAACUUCGUUUAUAAAGGAAUAAAACGAGGCACGUGUGCCUUUUUGCAUGUACUUUAUGAAUAAGGAUCGGCUAACUCCGUGCCAGCAGCCGCGGUAAUACGGAGGAUCCGAGCGUUAUCCGGAUUUAUUGGGGUUAAAGGGAGCGUAGAUGGGUUGUUAAGUCCGUUGUGAAAGUUUGCGGCUCAACCGUAAAAUUGCAUUUGAUACUGGCGGUCUUGAGUACAGUUGAGGUCGGCGGACUUCCUUGUGUAGCGGUGCAAUGCUUAGAUAUCACG
rnacentral:rRNA from 1 species